AUGUUUGGACUUCAUCGUGAAACCGAGAUAGCUUCUCCUUCCGUUGCAAACGGCACGACCGAAUCCCUUCUUCUCAGAUUCAUAUUUUGUUAUCUCCGCAUUGCCUCAACGGCUCAUCCUCAACUCGCUCGUGCCUUCACCGUGACAAACUCCAUUUCGGAUCGUCUCCCCCCGUUCAAUCAUCGUUCACCAAUUUUCGUCUCCUCGUCUUUGCAUGACUACUUAUGCUGUAGGCUUCAGUUUUGCUUCUGA